CAAAUCCUGCUUUUUGGGACCUCUUUUCCAUGGAAAACAGGGGAAAUAUUUUUGCUCUCCUCCGUUAAUGAAGCGUUGGAAGAGGCUGAGGAGGCGCUGCUGGAAUUUCUCCAGCCCGGUGCUCCGCGCAGAGCCGGGCCUGAUUGGAUUCUCCAAUUAAGGGACAAAAAGGAGCUGUUGAAGCGUCGUCAUUCCCUUUCAGCGAGUUUUGACUGAAGUCAGAGAGGUCCCAAAAUUGCGUGAGCCACCCCACCAAGUCCAAUCGUCACCAAAAUCCUUUAAAAUCA